AAUCUGUCACGCCCCGGGGUCCCUUUUAGGUUAAAACACAGCGAAAAUUUUUUUAAAAAAACCUGACCCCAGGAUAUGCCAAAUUCUCCACAAAUACAGGGAAUCCACUAUUCACACGGACAGUCUCCCCUGUAUUUGCACGGCAUCGCACAAGUACAAGAAUAUAACCAGGAUACAACCACCAUAAUGAAUAAACAACCAUCAAUAUUCAUUCACCAUUCAUCACAGAUUUACCAUUCAUAAUUCCACGACUAUUAGUUAAAACGUUUCCAACUCAGAAACGGGUUUUGAAAUACUA
rnacentral:lncRNA from 1 species